UCCGCUUUAGCUCAGUUGGUAGAGCGCGUCACUAGUAUUUGUACGCCAGUUUGGGUGGUUGUCCCAUGGCCACGUGAUGACGAGGUCGAUCGAUCAAACCGGUCAAGCGGAA